UACGGGGGGGGUAAGCGUUGCUCGGAAUCAUUGGGCGUAAAGCGCACGUAGGCGGCGAAGCAAGUCGGGUGUGAAAGCCCUGGGCUCAACCCAGGAAGUGCAUUCGAAACUAUUUCGCUUGAAUCUCGGAGGGGGUCAGAGAAUUCCCGGUGUAGAGGUGAAAUUCGUAGAUAUCGGGAGGAAUACCAGUGGCGAAGGCGCUGACCUGGACGAAGAUUGACGCUGAGGUGCGAAAGCGCGGGGAGCAAACAGG
rnacentral:rRNA from 1 species